AUCAUGCAAGUCGAGCGAAUGAUGAGGAGCUUGCUCCUCUGAUUUAGCGGCGGACGGGUGAGUAACACGUGGGUAAUCUGCCUGUAAGACGGGGAUAACUCCGGGAAACCGGGGCUAAUACCGGAUAAUAAGAGAAGAAGCAUUUCUUCUUUUUGAAAGUCGGUUUCGGCUGACACUUACAGAUGAGCCCGCGGCGCAUUAGCUAGUUGGUGAGGUAACGGCUCACCAAGGCGACGAUGCGUAGCCGACCUGAGAGGGUGAUCGGCCACACUGGGACUGAGACACGGCCCAGACUCCUACGGGAGGCAGCAGUAGGGAAUCUUCGGCAAUGGGCGAAAGCCUGACCGAGCAACGCCGCGUGAGCGAUGAAGGCCUUCGGGUCGUAAAGCUCUGUUGUUAGAGAAGAACAAGUACGAGAGUAACUGCUCGUACCUUGACGGUACCUAACCAGAAAGCCACGGCUAACUACGUGCCAGCAGCCGCGGUAAUACGUAGGUGGCAAGCGUUAUCCGGAAUUAUUGGGCGUAAAGCGCGCGCAGGCGGUCUCUUAAGUCUGAUGUGAAAGCCCACGGCUCAACCGUGGAGGGUCAUUGGAAACUGGGAGACUUGAGUGCAGGAGAGAAAAGUGGAAUUCCACGUGUAGCGGUGAAAUGCGUAGAGAUGUGGAGGAACACCAGUGGCGAAGGCGGCUUUUUGGCCUGUAACUGACGCUGAGGCGCGAAAGCGUGGGGAGCAAACAGGAUUAGAUACCCUGGUAGUCCACGCCGUAAACGAUGAGUGCUAGGUGUUGGGGGGGUUCCACCCUCAGUGCUGAAGUUAACACAUUAAGCACUCCGCCUGGGGAGUACGACCGCAAGGUUGAACUCAAGGAAUUGACGGGGCCCGCACAAGCAGUGGAGCAUGUGUUUAUUCGAGCACGCGAGGACCUUAACAAGGUCUGACUCCUCUGACACUCUAGAGAUGAGCUUCCCUUCGGGGACGGAGGGACAGUGUGCAUGCUGUCGUCAGCUCGUGUCUGAGAUGUAGUAGUUCGCACAGGCCACCUGACUAGUGCAGCAUCAGUGGACCUAGUAUGCGUGCAUUCGAGAUAGGGGAUGAGGUCA
rnacentral:rRNA from 1 species